CAGCAGCCGCGGUAAUACGAAGGGUGCAAGCGUUACUCGGAAUUACUGGGCGUAAAGGGCGCGUAGGCGGCGAUCAAAGUCAGGCGUGAAAUUCCUGGGCUCAACCUGGGGGCUGCGCUUGAUACUUGGUUGCUUGAGUGGGGAAGAGGGUCGUGGAAUUCCCAGUGUAGAGGUGAAAUUCGUAGAUAUUGGGAAGAACACCGGUGGCGAAGGCGGCGACCUGGUCCUUGACUGACGCUGAGGCGCGAAAGCGUGGGGAGCAAACAGGAUUAGAUACCCCCGUAGUCCCUGUCUCUUAUAC
rnacentral:rRNA from 1 species